GGACACUAGAAAUCUGUGUGCAUUUAGAUUCCUACUUCUUAGCUUUGCGUGGCGUGACAUUGAAUGGAGGUCCAGGUGACCCCAAGGACUUGGGGAACAGGUCCACCCACAUCAUCAGACGUCCCUGACAGACGUGGGCUGUACAGUGGUCUGGUCUCCACGUGUUCAGGUGGUCCCGUGGUUUGACUCCCCCCUCCAUCAUCCUUUCCUCCCCCUUGCCCUCCCUACCUCCACAGUUCUGAAGCAGAGGAAGAUGUGGAGGAAAAGUAAAAAUAGACAAAUGCAUGAAACUCAGUGAAGUCGAGUAGAAAAGCAGGCAAAGCAAAGAAUGAAAGAGUGGGAGGACUAACAGACAGAGGAGUUCAGGAAGGAAAAGGGAGAUGUAAUAUCUAAAACUUCACCUGAAGCAGAACAGACUGUCCUUCCUGCGUAUAACCCUGUUUUACAGGUCCACUAAGCUUUGAGUCAUUCUCUUUGUGCAUUAAAGUUUAACAUAAUAUUUUAUUUAAUAAAUGACACUUCCAGAUCAGA